ensembl:lncRNA
AUAUGUUUUGUUGAUGAUGGAGAACUUUGAAAAGAAGUUUUGUUUUGUUUUUAAAUACACCCUCAUAGAUCCAAUGCAGUUGAGACGGCGACCAAAGCCAAUUUCCCUAGAAACGCCAAAUCAAAAACACGUGGUGAGGCUCUGACCUGGAGUGCUUCAUCCUAAAUAACGCAUUUUAUAAACCCUGAAAAAUAAAAAGACUCAAAAGAACAUUCUGGGCCCGCACGGCUGCUUUUCAUCCCUUUCAUCACUAGGUGUCCCCGUGGUUAGCAAAUCCCAUCUGGAAUGCUGCGUCCUUGUACAUCCUUCCUGGAAGGCAGGUGGGGGAUAGUCAGCCACACUGGGGGCGCUUUUUGCCCGGUGGGGCGGGGAGGGGGCGGGGCUUCCUGAAGGGGCGGGGCUUGUGUGCGGGCAGAGCCACUCAUCUGACACAGAGGAGGAGCCAUCCUUGAACUGACAGGCCUGGGUGGAAUCAGCAUGGAGAGACUAAAACGUGAAAGGAACACUGUCAGAAACCAAUUUCCACCGCAGGAAAUGAGCGUGGCCUAGAAUAGAUGCAGAGCAUGAUUAAACUGCAGGACGGGCUCGGGAGGGAGGCUGAGCGGGCACUCAUCUCCCGGGAGGCGCCCCAGACCUACGCUGGGGCCACUGCUGAGUCAGAUCCCCGGAGGCGGUUCUUUGCAGAUGUCGCAGAGAAACAGGAUGCUGUGAGUCUUUUUGGGAAAUUCAGGCGCACAAAGACACCAGAAACAUGCACCCUCAGAGAAAAGGCCGGGUGAGGAUGCAGCGGGAGACAGCGACCCUCAGCAAGCCAAGGAGGGGCCUCCAGAGAAACCGAUCCCACCAACACCCCGAUCUGGGACUUGGAGCCUCCAGGACUGUGAGAAGUCGCUUUCUGUCACAUAAGCCACCCGUCUGUGUUUUCUCAUUGAGGCCGCUUUAGCAAAUGAAUACAAAUACAGGACCAAGAAGCCCGGAGGGCUGUGAACCUGCUUUGUCUCUCACAGGUGUGGGGUAUCUUAGGUCUCCUCUGGGCUGAGGUCUGCUUGCCGUUGGGUUCACACUGUGGGCACUCCUCCCAGGAGCUUUCCUGGUCCCUCUCCCUUUAGUCCCAAUCUCAACCAUCCCUCCAUGCUGACCAUACCCAACGCCCCAGCGCUGACUUCUCCAGGCCUGUAUUUCAGCUUCAUCCCAAUCUCAACCAUCCCUCCAUGCUGACCAUACCCAACGCCCCAGCGCUGACUUCUCCAGGCCUGUAUUUCAGCUUCCUCCUCCCAUUCACGCACACGUCGGAACAGGAGCUUAUUAUCUGAACUCCCAAACCCACCCCUCCGUCCAGUGGAUGGCAUCAGCAUUCUGCCCUGCAGGCUUGAAAGGGCGAGUAUCGAGGGGUGCCUCGAGAGUGCUGCCCAGAACCACUGUCUUUCUGGAAGUUACUGAAUUAUUUCAAACUGCAUUGAAGAUGUGUUUGUAGCACAGUGAUUUCUCCUGUGUGGGGUUUAGCCGUUGGCCCCAGUUCAGGAGAUGACAUCCAAAGCAUAAUAAUCAAGCCCUCCCCUCUCGAGGACAGCUAGUCUGGAAUGACAGUCCCUGUCUGGAUUUCUGGGACCUCUUCCUUGUUUCAGUACUUCAUCUCCAUGUCAUCAGACUGUUGAAAGGCUUUCUAAAAGGCUGGGUGUCCCUGGUUUUGACUCUAGAUUUUCAUGCCCCUGCCAAAAUAAUCUUCUGGAUUUACUUCGAGGGCAUUCGAUUAUGUGAGAGAUAAAAUCUAAAUCCCUUUCAAUGGCAUUCAAGGCUCUCCAGCUCCGAUCCUAAUCAGCCCUCCCAAGGCUGUUUCCACUUUUCCUCUUCUCCCACUGUAUCCUCUCACUCACCAAAGGCAGCCAGGCUUGAAACCGACAGCCUGGGUUCAAAUCCUGACCUCGCUACUUACUUGCUGUGUGACCUGAGGAGGCUUGUCAAGCACUAGGUAAUAAUAUCAAUAGCUAACUUUAACCCAGCACUUAGCUUGUAUCAGGCCCCACGACAAGAGAUCUCACAACUUGUUUUACUCAAUUCUCCUGCCAGCCCAAUUCUGUAGGGAACCCUCGGUCUUACUACCAUCCUCCUUGUACGCAGGAGAGCAAGGCACUAGACAUUUCAGUGCCUUUCCCAAGGCUCGAAGCC